rnacentral:lncRNA from 1 species
ACAGAAAGUCAGACAGAGAAAGAGAGAGGAGCAAGUGACAUACUUUAAAAAUUAUUCUUGAGAGAGGUCAACCUGCAUCACGGCUGGACAUGAACAGGGCGUAUAUGUUUUUCCCCUUCCAAGCCCUUUUGUUGCAUUUUAUUGUUUUUCCUACCUAGAUAUUAGGCUGUCUCCUUGCUCAAGCCCUGGCGGAGGUUAGCAUAAGCUGCCCCUCACUUUCACUGCUGGGCCAUUGAAAGGAAAGGGCUGGUCCCCGAGAAGGGUCAAGGCAGGGCUAUUUUGUUCUCCAGCAGCAAAGCAAAGAAUGCGUGACGUGUUGGAGGUGAAAACAGAUUGCAUUUGCACGGCAGCCACUGCCUCUGAAACAGGCUGGAGAAAUUCCUUUUAUGGCAGGCACUGGACUUAGAACCCAAAGACCUGGAUUUCAUUAUUGGCUCAGCCACCUCCCAGCAGUGUUAACUGGGGCAGGUUAGUUAACCUUUCUGAGACUCGAUGGUCUCACCUAUAAACUGGAGCUCAGGAUACCUAUCUGUCAGGGUGGUUAGGAUGGUCAAAGGGCACCCCCAGGAGCAUGAUAAAUAUGAGCUGAAACAGCGAAGUCGGAAUCUGUAUACAGACAUGACCUGUCGCCUCUCGGAGCAUUAACCCUCACAGUGAACUGGCAGGAGAGGUCUCCUGUCUUACUUCUCGGAGCAGAGGCACAGAGCUGGGAAGUCGGCCUGCCCACCUCCCCUGAGAGCUGGCAAGAGAGCCAGGAAUGGGAUGCAAGCACAUGCCCUUUGAUCCAGAGCUCUUGCUACCAGGCGCAUGGCCUCUUUAACAGCUCACCGGUUGUUGGAUUUGCUUCCAUUUUCUCCUGGGCCUAAAUCGUUCCCCAGCUUCCAAAGGGCACUCCCUCUUUCACACUUGAGGGCACCACCCAGGGAACUGAAGGCUCGGAAAGAGUAGCAACAGGGAGUAACAUGGGCACCAGGGAGAAGGAGGCUUGUUAUAUUCUUUCUAGAUGAAUCUCCAGGCUGCGGCAGUCCCGGGCGAGUCCCAGGCCUGCCGCAAAACCUGUCUGCCGUGGGACUGCCUCAACAUGCUGUUUGGGAAGUCAAGAUGUUCAGUGUUAACUUUGUUCUCCCUUCCCUUUCUUCGGGGAUUCACAGAGGCAGCUCUUCCAGGGCCUUCCUCUCCAAGUCUUUCUGGUGCUGAAAUCUGAGGUCACACACCCUGGAACACGACAUCUCUGUCAGAACAAGCCCGUGAAGCGGCUGUCCUAUCCGAGAGGGCUGUGCAGCGGGUGGUGUUGGCCCUUGAGUUUACCAUGGUUUGGGUUUCUCAGUGGCACUAUUUUUGGCAGAUUUUUUUUUCCCUCGCUCUUUAUCACAAGCCCAUCGGGGAAAUGACAGUGGAAUUGCAAGCUUGAAUGGACUUGUUUGACAGGCCAACUUUCAUCCUGAGCACUGCUGCUGACUUUUAAAAAGGAACUCUGAGAGGAGGAUAGUAAUUUCACACUAAUUCCUUGCCAUAAUUUGCUUUUGAGUAUAAAAUGUCGUGUUUCAAUCACCCUAGCUGCGUGGUGUAAGGGAGAAGAUGGGACACACGUGUGCUUAAUGUGUUUGUAAUAGACACACACAAAGACACCACUUUGCUCUGAAGCAACAACACAGGAAACACUGAUCCACACUUCAAGGGAAUCUCCACCAGGUACAAACAAGUGCAUUCAAAGGAAUUCAUAAUAAAUUGCCAGCUUUGGCAGAAACAGAGAGCUCCUUUAAACAGAAAAUCUCACGCUUGACAUCUCCAUCAUCCAAGCAUUUAUGAGAAUAUCUUUAUCCCCCAGGCUGCAUUAUGGAGAGGAAUUGGGGUGGUUUUAGGCAAACCCCAAAAGUAGGAGGGUCUGAAACCCUGGAUGGACUUAAUGCAUUGGGGGAACAGAUCAGGUUCAGCUGAGGAAGGUGAAAUUCAUCUGGGAGAAGGGUAAGUUAAUAGGUACUGGCCAAAAGGAAAAAAAUAGCCUCCACGCUGAAGAGAGCUGAUGAGGCUGUGCUUGGAAAAUCCCCUAAGAAAAAAACUACAGGGUCUCACAGAGAAGCCAGUGGUGAGGGCUUUGCCCAGUUUAGAAGCAGGAAGCAACAACUUUUUCUGAUUUAUUAAUCUGCACAUGGAAGCACCCUAAUCCCAUCCCUUCACCAACUCUCACCGCACUUAACUAUCCUGGCUACACUGCCUGACAUUUCAUUUUUCUCCCGGGAUGGCCGCUAAUAUUUCACAUACUUAGUCUUGCUCUCACCUAGAUUAUAAAUUCCUCGAGGUCAGGAGUCAAUAUCCAGCCCCAGGCUCCUUCCCAGGACUCCGUAACUCCCUGGAGGAUUGCAGAGCCCUUCACACAUUGUUCGCAAGGCUUCUGAAACAAUGGCAAGAUUGCACAAGGGCCAGGAAGGGUAUUUUUAGAAGAACAGAUCCAAGCUCUUUGGUGGGCCCUCAGGCUGUUUACCACCUAACCUGACCGCCUUUGGUGUCCUUCUGGCCCUGACUCCAUAUGCCGUGUGCUCCAGCUGAGCAAAACUAAGUGCUCUCAUGCCUCCGUGUCUUUGCACGUGCUGUUCCCUCUGCCAGCUGCCCUUGCCCCUUCUUGCAUCUGUGGACUGUCUUUCAGCUCUAGGCCACCUUCUCUCUCCCCACGGAACUGCCAGCAUCCCUUAGGCAGAGCUGAUGGUGCCUCACUUUGUGGGUCCAGGGUGCUUUCUGGAGGCCUUAAUGGGGAGGCAGGGCCAGCUGCCAGUCAUCAGGUUGGUACAGCCAUCGGGUUGGUACUGCCUGGUUGGCAGGUCUGUCUCUUCAGUUAGCCUGAGACUGCCUUGAGGCCAGGGCUACCUUCCUCCCUGUCUCUCAGUUCUUGGCCCCCAGCACAGUGCCUGGCACUCAGCAAAUGUUUCUUGAAUGAAUGUGCUUCCCAUGUUGGGCAGAUCAUGACGAAGGCAAUAUCAGGGCCCAGUGUGUAAUGCGAGGACAGCAAAAAGGGACCCUGCUUUGAGACCAGAGAUACUUCACAGGGAAGCUGCAUCUGGAGCCCUUCCUGAUAAGCUGGGUCAACUGGGACCGCUCCUAG